GGGACGUGGAGGCUCUCAUUGUAUACUAGGUUAUUACAGGUUUCGAUAAAAAUUAGUAGGGUUUGAAUUGUCUGUUAGAAGUGAUUCAGUUUCGUGGAGUAUUAUGAUUGUUGCUAGACGGCCUUGCCUAUGCCUCCAGCUCCAUCAACAAUGCAAUUACUAUCUCCAUCUAUGCUUGCCACAUAUGUUAUGGUGGUGAUGCCUCCAUUAAAGGCGCAUCCAGUUCUUAAAUUUCUUUGACGAAGCUUCUGUCGACAACCUCUGGGCAAGCAGAUUUGUCGCCCUUUGCUUCAGCCUUCUGUGAUGCCACGAUAAGAACGAAGGGCAAACAACAAGAGGAGCGGGAGGGGGAUGGAGCGGUACGUCAAAUGCGUCAUGUUAGCGGUAUCGAGCGGAGGUGAUGUGGCGCAUUUUGGAUAGUCUCUAGACGACGUUCGGCAUCUGCACAGAAUAAUUUGCCCUUUGUCAGUGGCAGAGUGCGCUGAGGACUUUUGGGGAGAAUGAUAAUCAAGCCAUGCAUUGUUGCUAAUGUACUAGGACUUCGCUGAGGUGGCUUGGUGAUUUGAGCCAGCUUUUGUUAUCCACUUUAAUAUUUGAUGUUAUGGAAAAUUUGAUAUGAAGAUAAAUUGUAUAAAUUAUAUUAAAUAAGGAGGGAAUUUUCAUUA